CGAGAAGACCCUGUGGAGCUUUAGACAUAAGACAAGUCAUGUUAAGUACCCCUAGACAAAGGACUGAACUAAGUGAAACCUUGCUCUGGUGUCUUUGGUUGGGGCGACCCAGG
rnacentral:rRNA from 1 species